UGGCUGCAAAGCUCCCAGACUGUGAAGCAACAAAUGCAGUGUGGUGACUGUCCCUAAUUGUAAGCCCCACUCACUGUUUUUCCAUUUUUGUUCAUUGUAGGUAAUCACAGUUUUGUACUCAGCUGUAGAGCAUCAUGUACACUAAUUGGCACUGACGUUGCUACUGGCUACCACUUUUAUUUUGGAAAAGCAUUGAAGGCAAAAGCAUGCAAAUUCCCAUCUAAGUACUUCAGUUAUUUGAAUUCUUUAUAUGCAGUUCUCUGAGAAAGCAUGAACAAGCAUUGGUCUUGAUUAUCUGAAUAUAAUUAGAAGCUUUCUGCAGAAGAAAUAAUAUGAGAACGAACAUCUUACAUCAGGCACAAAGUGAGGUAAUUUGUGAAGAGAUGAAUUGGGACAGGAACAGGAAAGAAGAUGGAGGAGAGAAGAAUCUGCAAGAGGAAAACUACAUUUACUGAGGUUUCUGUGCAGUUAAAACAGAAACAACUGUGGAGUGGACUAUUGACAAAGGACAGAAUAAUGACUCAUCUGAUUCUUCAAAAGUGUAGCAAAAGGUAAUUGCUAUUCUUUAUUCCAAGCAUACACAGAAAUAAGCCCUGAUACUUAGUUUGAGCCCAUGUAUAAUUGUUAGUGUUUAUUGUUGCAUAUUCUACUUGUAUUCUAAUAUUGAACUCACAGCUCACUUUGAGUUCUAUUGUAUACAAAUACCAAAUAAAUGUUGCCCCAUGGAGCAAAUAAAAAAGAAAUUGUUUUAUGGAUUGUCAUGAAUGUAAGCAAUUCAGAAAAGAUUUAGAUAGCAAAAGUAGGGUUGUCAUCCAGGGAGUUUGGAGUUGUUGAGAGUGUCAUUCAUUUGUCAGGUCUUAUUUUGUUAGUGCCAAUCUAAUUUUUUUUUCCUCAACUGUGUUGGAAGAAAAAUGCUAAGCAGGUUAUUGCAAUUAGUUUUCUGUAAAAAUAAUGACCUGCAUUAUUGGCAGUCUUAAUGUCGCCUUGUUAUUUACCUUUCAUAGUUUCUGGUUCGCAGGCAAUUAAAGCCUGCUCUGCACUCUGUAGAGGUUUAUUUUCAUAGGAAGUUUUCUGUCCCCUCUCCAUCUUGCAUAAAAAGAGGAGUUUUACUUACCAGUGAUUCUGCCUCACUAAAGCUGUGAAAUCACUUUUCUACUGUAUGAACUCAAAUAACUUGCUGAAAAGGCUCUCUCUUUUUAUCACAGUUAAAACUCAUUUCUUUUCUAUUUAUCUGAAUAUAUCUUAUAGUUCCUUAGGCUAGGAAAUAGGAAUAAGUGU